ensembl:ncRNA asRNA:CR43433 antisense RNA:CR43433
AAAAUAUUGGGACUAUGGGCAUGGGAACGAUGCUUUUGAACAAAUAUUUAACAUAGUUAAAGUGGAGUUUUGUUUUCUGUUUGGGAAAUGGGUGAAAAGAAAAAAGGGCGAAAAAAAAAGCGAAAAGCGAAGAGUUCGUGUGUAACAUUUACCUUUUUGCCAUCCAGCUCGUGUGUGCCUUGGAUUUGGAAGGAGAUGUAAACAGGAGACGGUUAGCGAGAAGUUCUGCAAAUAUUUACCCAAGCCAGGAGCCAAGUAACUGAACCUGAACCAGCCCCAGCCCGAGAAUCAGAAAAACAGAAAGAGACACAGGAGCCACGGCCAAAGUUGAACCUGCCAUCGUCAGUUUAGCACGUGCGCCAAUUAGGCGCUCAAAUUACAUCAAAAUAUUGCCAGGAAGGAGCGGCUCACGGGGGAGGGGCUGCAAAUGAGCAGUCUAGGGCACGAUGCCCCAUACUCCAUCUACAAAUGCUCCUUUUUCGAACUGUUCGAAGGCAGACGCUUACAAGCCAUUACGUAAAGAGCGCCGUCUCUUUCCGUCUCUUUCUGUUUCUUUCGUCCGUGUUGUGAUAAACUUAUUCUUGUUAAAUAUUUAAUUAAAAUGCUUAUUAUCUCG